rnacentral:lncRNA from 1 species
AGGUCUGGGCCCAGGAUAGGUGAGAUUAGGUUGAGUCAUGGGUGUACAUGGGCUUGGGUUAACCUAAUCUCCCAUAGAGUUGGUCAAGGGAGUUUUGGGUUUGGGUCACUUGACCCUGUGUUUAUAUAUACAUGCACUGUAUAGGUUUGAUUAAGCCAAGAAAUACGAAAACUCUUUCUCCCAAGUCUCUCUCUCUCUUCUCCCUCUCUCUCCAGUUAUUCUCCAUGCCCCAGGAGCAAGAAACCCUAGGGUUUCUUGCCGCCAGGUCCCAAAAAGGCAGGAAAAGCAAGGGGAGGCGCUAGGCUCCCCCUUUGUGCC